AGAGUUGUGGCUCAGUGGAAGAGCCUCUGCUUUGCAUACAGAAGGUGCCAGGUUCAAUCCCAGGCACCUCCA
rnacentral:tRNA from 1 species